rnacentral:misc_RNA from 1 species
AAGUCGUAACAAGGUUUCCGUAGGUGAACCUGUGGAAGGAUCAUUAACACGUAUCCAACGUUAAAACCCCCCGUGAACCUUCAUUAUGCUGGUUGUGCGCCAUCGUAUCGUAGCAAUCCCUGGUAAAUCAUCGCCGAACAGUUUUGAUUCAGGGACCUCUAUUAUAAGAACGAGUCUAACCAUAUAGCAUAUAGCAAUGGACCUGGAUCGCUAGAGGCCGACACGGCCGGCGACCAGGUCCCUGGGUGAAAGCCCCCUAUAGUCACCUCCAUUGCACGAUUAACGCGGUGUGCGAUUCGUACGCACCCUCCAUAAAAUGCUUAGAACAACUGUUAACAAUGGAUAUCUUGGUUCUC